GAUGAACGCUGGCGGCGUGCCUAAUACAUGCAAGUCGAGCGAACAGAUGAGGAGCUUGCUCCUCUGACGUUAGCGGCGGACGGGUGAGUAACACGUGGAUAACCUACCUAUAAGACUGGGAUAACUUCGGGAAACCGGAGCUAAUACCGGAUAAUAUAUUGAACCGCAUGGUUCAAUAGUGAAAGACGGUUUUGCUGUCACUUAUAGAUGGAUCCGCGCCGCAUUAGCUAGUUGGUAAGGUAACGGCUUACCAAGGCAACGAUGCGUAGCCGACCUGAGAGGGUGAUCGGCCACCCUGGAACUGAGACACGGUCCAGAGUCCUACGGGAGGCAGCAGUAGGGAAUCUUCCGCAAUGGGCGAAAGCCUGACGGAGCAACGCCGCGUGAGUGAUGAAGGUCUUCGGAUCGUAAAACUCUGUUAUUAGGGAAGAACAAAUGUGUAAGUAACUAUGCACGUCUUGACGGUACCUAAUCAGAGAGCCACGGCUAACUACGUG
rnacentral:rRNA from 1 species